UUUUAGUGAUGAAUGACAUUUGUCAGUUCUGCUACUGAAUAGAAGUGAAGACAAAAUAUUUCUGAUAAGA